rnacentral:lncRNA from 1 species
CUGCCAUUUCUGGCAUCUUUAUUAAAAUCUGCUCCUUUGUCUAACAACAUCCUUACUAACUAUGUAUGUCGUUUACAACACGCAAUCAUUUUCGAUGACCAGCCACCAUUGUUAAGUUUAUUAUAACAUGUAUAAUCUGCUCUCUUGUUUUACAACAUCAUAACUAUGUCUGCAUGAUGUUUACAGCAAGCUAUCAAAAGAGGUGACCAGCCAUCACUGGCACAUUUAUUUUAAUCUAUAAUCUGCUCCUUUGUUUAACCAGAUGCUCCGCAGGGCGCAGCUUUAUACGACCACAGAGGUUGAACCCUGAACGGUUGGGGCAAGUAUGGACACAACAUUCAAGCUGGAUUCAGCUCUAAAUUUGAUUGUGAUUAAAUAGUUGACACAGCAUAGGUUUACACAUGAAUGUGGUCUAAUGAACUUAAAACAUUUUGUUUGCCUUUGAGCAAUUCACUAUGCUGUUGAAUAUUAAUCCUCUCAAAAAAAUGUUUGAAGAAACUUUCUUUUUAUUUAUGAAAUCUGAAAUGAGAAAAAUUUAACCCCCCCCCCAUUUUUUUUUACAUCCCCCUUUCCCUUUUUCCAAAACUGAUCUCAAUUCAAAU